UACGGAGGGUGCAAGCGUUAUCCGGAUUCACUGGGUUUAAAGGGUGCGUAGGUGGGUCUGUAAGUCAGUGGUGAAAUCUUCGAGCUUAACUCGGAAACUGCCAUUGAUACUAUAGAUCUUGAAUUUUCUGGAGGUAAGCGGAAUAUGUCAUGUAGCGGUGAAAUGCUUAGAUAUGACAUAGAACACCAAUUGCGAAGGCAGCUGGCUACACGAAUAUUGACACUGAUGCACGAAAGCGUGGGGGAUCAAACAGG
rnacentral:rRNA from 1 species